AUGAACGCUAGCUACAGGCUUAACACAUGCAAGUCGAGGGGCAGCAUUUCAGUUUGCUUGCAAACUGGAGAUGGCGACCGGCGCACGGGUGAGUAACACGUAUCCAACCUGCCGAUAACUCGGGGAUAGCCUUUCGAAAGAAAGAUUAAUACCCGAUGGUAUAAUCAGACCGCAUGGUCUUGUUAUUAAAGAAUUUCGGUUAUCGAUGGGGAUGCGUUCCAUUAGGCAGUUGGUGAGGUAACGGCUCACCAAACCUUCGAUGGAUAGGGGUUCUGAGAGGAAGGUCCCCCACAUUGGAACUGAGACACGGUCCAAACUCCUACGGGAGGCAGCAGUGAGGAAUAUUGGUCAAUGGGCGCAGGCCUGAACCAGCCAAGUAGCGUGAAGGAUGACUGCCCUAUGGGUUGUAAACUUCUUUUAUAUGGGAAUAAAGUUUUCCACGUGUGGAAUUUUGUAUGUACCAUAUGAAUAAGGAUCGGCUAACUCCGUGCCAGCAGCCGCGGUAAUACGGAGGAUCCGAGCGUUAUCCGGAUUUAUUGGGUUUAAAGGGAGCGUAGGUGGACAGUUAAGUCAGUUGUGAAAGUUUGCGGCUCAACCGUAAAAUUGCAGUUGAUACUGGCUGUCUUGAGUACAGUAGAGGUGGGCGGAAUUCGUGGUGUAGCGGUGAAAUGCUUAGAUAUCACGAAGAACUCCGAUUGCGAAGGCAGCUCACUGGACUGCAACUGACACUGAUGCUCGAAAGUGUGGGUAUCAAACAGGAUUAGAUACCCUGGUAGUCCACACAGUAAACGAUGAAUACUCGCUGUUUGCGAUAUACAGUAAGCGGCCAAGCGAAAGCAUUAAGUAUUCCACCUGGGGAGUACGCCGGCAACGGUGAAACUCAAAGGAAUUGACGGGGGCCCGCACAAGCGGAGGAACAUGUGGUUUAAUUCGAUGAUACGCGAGGAACCUUACCCGGGCUUAAAUUGCAUUUGAAUAUAUUGGAAACAGUAUAGCCGUAAGGCAAAUGUGAAGGUGCUGCAUGGUUGUCGUCAGCUCGUGCCGUGAGGUGUCGGCUUAAGUGCCAUAACGAGCGCAACCCUUAUCUUUAGUUACUAACAGGUCAUGCUGAGGACUCUAGAGAGACUGCCGUCGUAAGAUGUGAGGGAGGUGGGGAUGACGUCAAAUCAGCACGGCCCUUACGUCCGGGGCUACACACGUGUUACAAUGGGGGGUACAGAAGGCAGCUACCUGGUGACAGGAUGCUAAUCCCAAAAGCCUCUCUCAGUUCGGAUCGAAGUCUGCAACCCGACUUCGUGAAGCUGGAUUCGCUAGUAAUCGCGCAUCAGCCAUGGCGCGGUGAAUACGUUCCCGGGCCUUGUACACACCGCCCGUCAAGCCAUGAAAGCCGGGGGUACCUGAAGUACGUAACCGCAAGGAGCGUCCUAGGGUAAAACUGGUAAUUGGGGCU
rnacentral:rRNA from 1 species